rnacentral:tRNA from 1 species
UAGCUGAGUGGUAAAGCGCUCGGCUUCUGAACUGAGGGUCCCGGGUUCGAAUCCUGG